rnacentral:rRNA from 1 species
CCCUUAGAUGUCCGGGGCCGCACGCGCGCUACACUGAAGGAAUCAGCGUGGCUUUCUCCCUGACCCGAAAGGGUUGGGAAACCCGUUGAAUCUCCUUCGUGAUAGGGAUUGGGGCUUGAAAUUGUUCCCCAUGAACGAGGAAUUCCCAGUAAGCGCGAGUCAUAAGCUCGCGUUGAUUACGUCCCUGCCCUUUGUACACACCGCCCGUCGCUACUACCGAUUGAAUGGUCCGGUGAAGCCUCGGGAUUGUGGCCAGUUCACUUUAUUGGGAGUUGGCUGUGAGAACUUGUCUAAACCUUAUCAUUUAGAGGAAGGUGAAGUCGUAACA